CCAGCAUGGACAUGAAGGUCCCUGAUCAGCUUCUGGGGCUCCUGCGGCUCUUUCUUCCAGAUCACAUCCUACUGCCACAAUGACUUCAUAAUAAGCUGUUCACACCUGUGCAGCAGUCAGUCCCCGUCAGCACACAGCAUGGACAUGAGGACCAAUGCUCAGCUCCUGGGGCUCCUACUGCUCUGCUUCCCAGGUGCCAGAUGUGACAUCCAGAUGACCCAGUUUCCAUCCUCCCUGUCUGCAUCUCCAGGAGACACAAUCACCAUCUCCUGCAGAGCCAGUCAGGGUAUUAAACUGGUAUCAGCAGAAACCAGGGAAUUCCCCAAAGCUCCUGAUCUAUUACACGUCAAGCCUGGCCUCAGGGGUCCAAUGCAGGUUUAGUUGCAGUGGCUCUGGGACAGAUUAUUCUCUCACCAUCAGCAG